rnacentral:rRNA from 1 species
GACAGAGGCCUCGAGCGUUAGGCGGAAUCACUGGGCUUAAAGCGUGUGUAGGCGGAUCGUUAAGUGCCUUGUGAAAUCCCACGGCUUAACUGUGGAACGGCUGGGCAUACUGGCGGUCUUGAGCCAUCUAGGGGCGACUGGAACAAACGGUGGAGCGGUGAAAUGCGUAGAUAUCGUUUGAAACGCCAAUGGUGAAAACAGGUCGCUGGGGAUGAGCUGACGCUGAGACACGAAAGCCAGGGGAGCAAACGGG